rnacentral:rRNA from 1 species
GGYYGACCUCGGAUCAGGUAGGGAUACCCGCUGAACUUAAGCAUAUCAAUAA